AGUGAACGCUGGCGGCAGGCCUAACACAUGCAAGUCGAGCGGCAGCGCGGGGCAACCUGGCGGCGAGCGGCGGACGGGUGAGGAAUACAUCGGAAUCUACCCUGUCGUGGGGGAUAACGUAGGGAAACUUACGCUAAUACCGCAUACGAACUGAGGUUGAAAGCGGCGGACCGCAAGGCGUCGCGCGAUUGGAUGAGCCGAUGUCCGAUUAGCUAGUUGGCGGGGUAAAGGCCCACCAAGGCGACGAUCGGUAGCUGGUCUGAGAGGACGACCAGCCACACUGGAACUGAGACACGGUCCAGACUCCUACGGGAGGCAGCAGUGGGGAAUAUUGGACAAUGGGCGCAAGCCUGAUCCAGCCAUGCCGCGUGGGUGAAGAAGGCCUUCGGGUUGUAAAGCCCUUUUGUCCGGAAAGAAAUCCUGUCGGUUAAUACCCGGCGGGGAUGACGGUACCGGAAGAAUAAGCACCGGCUAACUUCGUGCCAGCAGCCGCCGUAAGAC
rnacentral:rRNA from 1 species